rnacentral:rRNA from 1 species
CCUACUGGUGGCUGCAGUGAGGAAUAUUGGUCAAUGGACGCAAGUCUGAACCAGCCAUGCCGCGUGCAGGAAGACGGCUCUAUGAGUUGUAAACUGCUUUUGUACGAGUGUAAACGCCGAUACGCGUAUCUGUCUGAAAGUACUUUCAGACUAAGGAUCGGCUAACUCCGUUCCAGCAGCCGCGGUAAUCCGGAGGAUCCAAGCGUUAUCCGGAUUUAUUGGGUUUAAAGGGUGCGUAGGCGGAUGGAUAAGUUAGAAGUGAAAUGUCCGAGCAUAACUCGGGAACCGCCGCUAAUACUGUUGAUCUAGAGAGUAGGUGCGGGAGGUGGAAGGUAGGGUGUAGCGGUGAAAUGCUUAGAGAUCAUACAGAACACCGAUUGCGAAGGCAGCUUACCAAUCUAUAUCUGACGUUGAGGCACGAAAGCGUGGGGAGCAAACAGGAUUAGAUACCCUAGUAGUC